rnacentral:rRNA from 1 species
AUACAGAGAGUGCAAGCGUUAAUCGGAAUUACUGGGCGUAAAGCGCGCGUAGGUGGAUAUUUUAGUCGGAUGUGAAAGCCCCAGGCUUAACCUGGGAAUUGCGUUCGAUACUGGAUAUCUAGAGUAUGGUAGAGGGAAGUGGAAUUUCCGGUGUAGCGGUGAAAUGCGUAGAUAUCGGAAAGAACACCAGUGGCGAAGGCGACUUCCUGGACCAAUACUGACACUGAGGUGCGAAAGCGUGGGGAGCAAACAGGAUUAGAUACCCCGGUAGUCC